UACGUAGGGGGCAAGCGUUGUCCGGAUUUAUUAGGCGUAAAGAGCGUGUAGGCGGCUUGGUAGGUCCGCUGUGAAAACUCGAGGCUCAACCUCGAGAUGUCGGCGGAAACCACUUGGCUAGAGUCCGGAAGAGGAGAGUGGAAUUCCUGGUGUAGCGGUGAAAUGCGCAGAUAUCAGGAAGAACACCUAUGGCGAAGGUAGCUCUCUGGGACGGUACUGACGCUGAGACGCGAAAGCGUGGGGAGCGAACAGG
rnacentral:rRNA from 1 species